GCACCCGUAGAUCAAUUGGAUAGAUCGUUUGACUACGGAUCAAAAGGCUAGGGGUUCAAAUCCUCUCGGGUGCGCCA
rnacentral:tRNA from 2 species